UGAACCAAUCAGAUCAGUCCACAGCUUCAAAUCAUCCAAUCAGGUGUGAGUGAGAGCUGCUUUUCUACUGAACACACAAGUUGAUUUCCUCACUAUCACUGUGUCUGAACAGGAACGAUGAUCUCACUCUUUGUGGCGCUUUACUCUCUGCUUUGUCUCUGCACAGCUGUAAAAACAUCUGACAUCAAGGAGCUUCACGUGAGAACAGUAAAGAGUGGAGAAGAUGUAACUAUAGCGUGUGAUCUCAGUCUGAUCACAGACAAAAGUAAAGUAGUCUGGUACAGACAGAGUUUUGGAAAAGUGCCUCAGUUUUUUGCAAAACGUUACGGGACAAAUAGUUACACAUUUACUGAUGGAUUUAAUGAUAAUCGCUUAAAUUUUACUGUAAAUGAGCAUCAGUUUGAUCUCAACAUUACGAACCUGAGAGAAGAUGAUGGAGGAGAAUAUUUCUGUGGAGAAAUGGAGGGAACUACAAUAAAGUUCACAUCUGGAGCACGUCUGCAAUUUGAAGAGAUGAAACUCUGUCCUUCACCUGGACCAGAAAUCAAGACCACAGGUUCUGUUACACACCAGGAUUCACACAGCAGUGAUGAAAACCGUGCUUCAUCACGAAAGCCUGAAAUCAGCAGCAAUCAGGCUGAUGAUGAAGAUGUCUUGAACUAUGCAGCUGUGAGUUUUGCUAAGAAACCUUCAUCCUCCAGAACAUCCAGAGACCAGAGACAUGAAGACGUUUAUGCACAAGUUCAAAUCAAAUAGAUCCAAAGAAAUGAGUUCAGACUUGAAAAUCAAUAGAAAUUGAAUUAUUCCCCAGUUUGUAGACAAACGUGUCAUAUUUUAAUCAGAAAUCAUUUUUAUUGCUGUAAUUUAUCAUAAUUUCCAAAC